rnacentral:rRNA from 1 species
UACGAAGGGUGCAAGCGUUACUCGGAAUUACUGGGCGUAAAGCGUGCGUAGGUGGUUCGUUAAGUCUGUCGUGAAAGCCCCGGGCUCAACCUGGGAAUGGCAUUGGAUACUGGCGACCUAGAGUGCGGUAGAGGGGUGUGGAAUUCCCGGUGUAGCAGUGAAAUGCGUAGAUAUCGGGAGGAACAUCUGUGGCGAAGGCGACACCCUGGACCAGCACUGACACUGAGGCACGAAAGCGUGGGGAGCAAACAGG